rnacentral:rRNA from 1 species
GACGAACGCUGGCGGCGUGCCUAAUACAUGCAAGUAGAACGCUGAAGAGAGGAGCUUGCUCUUCUUGGAUGAGUUGCGAACGGGUGAGUAACGCGUAGGUAACCUGCCUUGUAGCGGGGGAUAACUAUUGGAAACGAUAGCUAAUACCGCAUAACAAUGGAUGACACAUGUCAUUUAUUUGAAAGGGGCAAUUGCUCCACUACAAGAUGGACCUGCGUUGUAUUAGCUAGUAGGUGAGGUAAUGGCUCACCUAGGCGACGAUACAUAGCCGACCUGAGAGGGUGAUCGGCCACACUGGGACUGAGACACGGCCCAGACUCCUACGGGAGGCAGCAGUAGGGAAUCUUCGGCAAUGGGGACAACCUUGACCGAGCAACGCCGCGUGAGUGAAGAAGGUUUUCGGAUCGUAAAGCUCUGUUGUAAGUCAAGAACGGGUGUGAGAGUGGAAAGUUCACACUGUGACGGUAGCUUACCAGAAAGGGACGGCUAACUACGUGCCAGCAGCCGCGGUAAUACGUAGGUCCCGAGCGUUGUCCGGAUUUAUUGGGCGUAAAGCGAGCGCAGGCGGUUUGAUAAGUCUGAAGUUAAAGGCUGUGGCUCAACCAUAGUUCGCUUUGGAAACUGUCAAACUUGAGUGCAGAAGGGGAGAGUGGAAUUCCAUGUGUAGCGGUGAAAUGCGUAGAUAUAUGGAGGAACACCGGUGGCGAAAGCGGCUCUCUGGUCUGUAACUGACGCUGAGGCUCGAAAGCGUGGGGAGCGAACAGGAUUAGAUACCCUGGUAGUCCACGCCGUAAACGAUGAGCGCUAGGUGUUGGAUCCUUUCCGGGAUUCAGUGCCGCAGCUAACGCAUUAAGCACUCCGCCUGGGGAGUACGACCGCAAGGUUGAAACUCAAAGGAAUUGACGGGGGCCCGCACAAGCGGUGGAGCAUGUGGUUUAAUUCGAAGCAACGCGAAGAACCUUACCAGGUCUUGACAUCCCGAUGCUAUUUCUAGAGAUAGAAAGUUACUUCGGUACAUCGGUGACAGGUGGUGCAUGGUUGUCGUCAGCUCGUGUCGUGAGAUGUUGGGUUAAGUCCCGCAACGAGCGCAACCCCUAUUGUUAGUUGCCAUCAUUCAGUUGGGCACUCUAGCGAGACUGCCGGUAAUAAACCGGAGGAAGGUGGGGAUGACGUCAAAUCAUCAUGCCCCUUAUGACCUGGGCUACACACGUGCUACAAUGGUUGGUACAACGAGUUGCGAGUCGGUGACGGCGAGCUAAUCUCUUAAAGCCAAUCUCAGUUCGGAUUGUAGGCUGCAACUCGCCUACAUGAAGUCGGAAUCGCUAGUAAUCGCGGAUCAGCACGCCGCGGUGAAUACGUUCCCGGGCCU